GUUCGGCACAAGUUAUUUGGACUGACUGGAUAACUGACAUAUUCUAACAUGACUUUAUCAGGUAAAGAUUCUGCUUCAAAACUCAAAAGGACAGACAAUGUCUUCUCAGUUUCACCACCGGGUCUGCGUCGUACCAAUCAGAGAGCGUCACAGACACAGAGAAUUUUCCAUUUCAGUUGCUCCACCUCAACGCCACCCCAGUAAUCACUCCUUUCAAAGGCUUCCUGCUCCGAAAAGCAAAGCAAGUCACAGGUCUUGUCCCUAGUCACAUGAAGCAAGACAUCCACUCCCUCUGCACAGAAAAACAUCACAAGUCCACUUCGAACUACCUUUACAGAUUUAACAGUACCCAAAUCAUUUUCUACCCAGCCUGAGACUAAAGCCAAACGGCAGGGAUCCACUUUCUCUAAAAAUGUCCCUCCCACUGUGUCACCUUACUUGUAGAAAAGUGGAGCAGAGCAUGUUGAGCGAUCUCCAGCUCCGAGGAGAAGGAAGUAACUUGACAAAAGUUACAAGUUCCAGUCAUCUCCGGUUAUUUCCUUUAGUUAGCAUUCUUUGUUUUUGCCAAGGCCAGUGUGCGUCUUUCAGAAAUUUUUUUUCAGGUGCAAAACCCUUGUAUUGAUUCAACAGACCUUGACCAGAGACGAAGAGCUGCAGCUCAUGUCCAUAGUGGUCGGAAUCCUGAUCCCUGAAUAAUCAACACGAGGAGGAGGUUCAGAAUGAUGAAUAUGAUAAGAGUAAGUGCCAUGAAAAGCCAGAAAACUCAAUCUGACACAUCACACGACUCUUCGAGAGCCACUAUGAUCCAGAUCGCCUUCUGUGCUCAGAGGACCUUGUGAGGCUCUGCCCCAUCAAACCAUGCUUAUUAAUCAUUAAUCAAAUAAGACAAUGGGCCUUUAUAUACUAUGUAUCCCAGUCUUUCUAUUCAUGUAAUGUCUGUGGGUGAAUUUUGAAACAAUUACUAUAUGCAGAUGUAACAAAAAAUGGUGAUGUAGAUUUGUUUUUGCCAUUGCUUGAUCUAUUUAAAAUGUAAGAAUAUGUUGCAGAUUAACUUUAAUUGGUGACUAUGGAAACAAAUAUAAAUGUAAUGAACAAUGUUUUCAAUAUCCAACUUUAUCCUCAGCAAUGCAUUUUACAGUACACUCUUAGA